rnacentral:lncRNA from 1 species
UUUUUUUGUGAGGGGUCUAAAUCAUCAUUUCAUCUUUUUAUCAUCGUAGAGAAACCCAUGCCCCAUUACAAUUACAACCAUGACCCACAUUAACGACGGAGAAGCCAAAAAAACUGAGUUGAGGGAUUGGCCGACAAACUUUGGAAUUAACAACUGGCUCUGGCUUGGUUAGGCCAUAGGUCUCCCCUAAGAGUCACAGUCUUUGCGAGGCCAUCAUGCUCUCCAGGCACAAAAUGGUUGUUGGCUAUAACCUUUAUUGCUUUCAAGUGUUUCUCUCAGUAGGAACCUGUACACUACAGUGCGUUUCGCUGUCAAGCAAAGAGAUGGUUCUAUUGGCAAAAGAUGAACAUAAUUAACUAGCUAAAGUGACUUAUUAGGGCACCAGGGAUGAAAUUAAGAGAGUUAAUCACGGUAGGUGCAAGUGGGGUCACGGGGUAAUGUACAG